CAUAGUUACCCACCCCUUUUCACUAGCCGGGCCCAAAUAUUCAUUACAACUUUUUACAAACCAAAAAUAAUAAAUUACAUCAAAAGUGUAAAGAAAAUACAACCAGAUGAAGCUUGAUUCUGACUUCUUGUCUGAAUUAGGAGAUAGACCAGCUCAAAAACCACUGAUCCAAAGCCUUUCUCCAAUUUGAGUGUGUCAGAGUUCCCUAAGAGCCUAAAUGGGACUUUGGGCAGUGCUCACACCCAAAUUGUAUUACCAGAAUAAGGACAAGUGCAGUGUGGAAGGGCCAACCCUCGAGUGUCCAAGUUUAGAGGGAGCUCAAUGGGUCCCAAGGCAAGGCUCAGAAGGGGGACAAAACUUAAAGUCUAAGAGAGAGUGCACGUGAAGAAACAGAAUUUUAAAGAACUAAGAAAGUAAAGAAGAGGGAGGAGAUGUUAGGAAACAGCCAUAAACAAGUCAUACAAAAGGUUCAGGGAUUGGGGAAAUUUCUAAAGAGCCUAUACUUGGCAUAGGAAAGAAUUGGGCAUGCACAAAAAUGGAGAUGUUAGCAUGCCUAUAAGCCUGCCAGAAAAUAUAACAACAAAGUUCAUAGAGGUUAGGAUCCCAGGGAUCAAGCUUGAGUCAUGGCCAGUAAUAUUCAGUACUGUCAUGCCUCCAGCAAACCAUAGCAUCACACGCAUUGGGGUGUUUGGGAUUCAUAAUUGGAGGAAAUUAUAGCAUGCUAAAGUAAACCCUGAACUAAACACAAACAGUAGGCAGACAUGCAAGCGAAGGUAUUAAGUAAACACAUUAUUUGUGAUUGCUGAAAAUCUUAAUCAAGACAUACCAGUUUCAAAGAGCAAGAUACUGUAAAAGCAAGUAGCAGGACUUGAAGGCAAUCCACAGUACAAGUAACAAAAGAGAAUAGUUUUGAGUGUGAGCGAGAGUUCAGAAACUAAGAGUGUUCGUGUGUUCUGUGUCAAUGCAAAAGCCAGGUAUUUAUAGUGUGAAAACAGGUAGAAAAUAAGGUAAGAAAAUAAUUAUGGAACUAUGUAGCAAUUAAAAAUCAAUUAGUAUAGGAACUUCCUUUAAUUAAGGAGUUUAAACUUAAACGGUAAUGGGCAGAAAACUUUUAAGUAAAGAAAUCAAGUAAGCAUCUUGUGCAAAGUAGGCAAUUAGGGGUGAAUACAUAGAGGUUUAACUAAGGGAAGAAUUAAUGAAGAAUAUUUAAAAUACACGGUUAACAUAAUAAGGUGAGAAACAGAAUAAACCAACCAAUACAUAGUAAAUCAAGGAGUCAACUAUUUUAAAUUAUAAAUAAACCAAGUCAAAAAUAGGAGAAUCAAAAGGCUAAGGGAAAGUUCUCAAAUCAACCCAAGAAUCAGGGAAAUCAGUAAAUAAGGAAGAAUCAAUCAGACUUAUACAAGGAGGCCUGAAACCAGUCACAAAUUCAAGGUCAUUUUAGAGGGAAACUCAGCAUAUAAAGAGUUUAUAAGUAUUAAGUAGGAAAGGCUGAAUUUAGGACAAAAAGAAACAUCAUAUAGCAGCAAACACAAGUAGUCACAUAGGUCGAUUUUGGUUACUCAAUAACAGAGGGGAGAAAGUAUCAAAUAGCAUGUAAAAGGGUCAAGUAAAGGACCUGAUAGAGUUUAGCAGGAAGUUAGAAUCCUAUAAAGAAACAAAAGAUUCAAAAAUUUAAUCUAGCAGUAGAUGAAACACAUUUCAGAAACUCGAAUAGGUUCGAAGAAAUAUGGGCUUUGAAACCAAACAAGUUCGAAGAUGAAGAACAAGCAAAUCAAAUAGCAAAUAGUCUCAAAACUCGAAUGAAUCCCCAAAUUUAGGGCUUUCCCCGUCAAUCGAGUGUAGAGAUGAAAACAAGUAAAUCAGGCAAAAAUACUAAUAAAAUAAGUUCAAAAAUCUCAAAAAAGAACUAAGACAUUUAACAUGCAUAUUCCAGUAGAAGAAUAACACCAAGAAACACAGUAAAAGAGCAACACAGUAGAACAACAACAUAAGAAACAUAGUAAGAAACACAGUAGACAUGUUUAAAAAAUUUUGAAGAGUUUCGAGAUAAAGUAACAAAAACCCCUAAAUUAGAAAAGAUAAAGGUUCUGAAAGUAGAAUUUUGAAAGAAACCAUGAGAAAAUGCUUAGGAGCUCAGAGAAAACACAGAUCUACAACGGAUCUAGAAGAAUCAGAAAAACCUCUAAGGUUAGGGUUUCAUAAGAACCAAAAUAGUGAGAAAGGCUUGGAAGGUCAUUGAGCUAAACAAGAGAAACCAAGAGCAAGCUUGAAUAGCCAUGGAGAGCCGGAGCAAGGUCGGAGAUGACAGAAAAUAGCUAUUGAAUUGAAAGCACCUGAGGUCUAGACCAAGCUUCUUCAAGGUCUGGCCUUGAAACUAUGAUAAUCGAGCAUGUAUGAGUUAUAUGAGGUAGGUACAGGCCUUUAAUGGCAGUGGAAGCUAUGAUGCAGACGAUUUGGGUGGUGGUUGAAGAUGGCAGCUAGGGUUUGAGAGGGAGAUUGAGAGAGAACUAGAAAGGGGAGAUUCAAAGACAGCUACCUGUGAGAAG
rnacentral:lncRNA from 1 species